ensembl:misc_RNA Metazoa_SRP Metazoan signal recognition particle RNA
GCCAGGCAUGCUGGCACAUGCCUGUAAUCCCAGCUACUCCGGAGGCUGAGACAGGAGAAUAGCUUGAGCCCAGGAGGCAGGGGUUGCAGUGGGCCAAGAUCACGCCACUGCACUCCAGCCUGGGUGACAGAGCGAGACUCUGUCUCAA